AACAAGCUUGCUACUCGGGUGACGAGCGGCGGACGGGUGAGUAAUGUCUGGGAAACUGCCUGAUGGAGGGGGAUAACUACUGGAAACGGUAGCUAAUACCGCAUAAUGUCGCAAGACCAAAGUGGGGGACCUUCGGGCCUCAUGCCAUCAGAUGUGCCCAGAUGGGAUUAGCUAGUAGGUGGGGUAACGGCUCACCUAGGCGACGAUCCCUAGCUGGUCUGAGAGGAUGACCAGCCACACUGGAACUGAGACACGGUCCAGACUCCUACGGGAGGCAGCAGUGGGGAAUAUUGCACAAUGGGCGCAAGCCUGAUGCAGCCAUGCCGCGUGUGUGAAGAAGGCCUUCGGGUUGUAAAGCACUUUCAGCGGGGAGGAAGGCGGUGAGGUUAAUAACCUCAUCGAUUGACGUUACCCGCAGAAGAAGCACCGGCUAACUCCGUGCCAGCAGCCGCGGUAAUACGGAGGGUGCAAGCGUUAAUCGGAAUUACUGGGCGUAAAGCGCACGCAGGCGGUCUGUCAAGUCGGAUGUGAAAUCCCCGGGCUCAACCUGGGAACUGCAUUCGAAACUGGCAGGCUAGAGUCUUGUAGAGGGGGGUAGAAUUCCAGGUGUAGCGGUGAAAUGCGUAGAGAUCUGGAGGAAUACCGGUGGCGAAGGCGGCCCCCUGGACAAAGACUGACGCUCAGGUGCGAAAGCGUGGGGAGCAAACAGGAUUAGAUACCCUGGUAGUCCACGCCGUAAACGAUGUCGAUUUGGAGGUUGUGCCCUUGAGGCGUGGCUUCCGGAGCUAACGCGUUAAAUCGACCGCCUGGGGAGUACGGCCGCAAGGUUAAAACUCAAAUGAAUUGACGGGGGCCCGCACAAGCGGUGGAGCAUGUGGUUUAAUUCGAUGCAACGCGAAGAACCUUACCUGGUCUUGACAUCCACAGAACUUUCCAGAGAUGGAUUGGUGCCUUCGGGAACUGUGAGACAGGUGCUGCAUGGCUGUCGUCAGCUCGUGUUGGGAAAUGUUGGGUUAAGUCCCGGAACGAGCGGAACCCUUAUCCUUUGUUGCCAGCGGUUCGGCCGGGAACUCAAAGGAGAUUGCAGUGUAAACUGGAGGAAAGGUGGGGAUGACGUCAAGGCAUCAUGGCCCUUACGACCAGGGUUACACACGGGCUACAAUG
rnacentral:rRNA from 1 species